rnacentral:rRNA from 1 species
AGAGUUUGAUCCUGGCUCAGGAUGAACGCUGGCGGCGUGCUUAACACAUGCAAGUCGAACGAAGCACUUGGAACAGAUUACUUCGGUUUGAAGUUCCAAUUGACUGAGUGGCGGACGGGUGAGUAACGCGUGGGUAACCUACCUUUAUCAGGGGGAUAACAGUUAGAAAUGACUGCUAAUACCGCAUAAGCGCACAGUGCUGCAUGGCACAGUGUGAAAAGCCAAGACGGAUAGAGAUGGACCCGCGUCUGAUUAGCUAGUUGGUGAGGUAAUGGCUCACCAAGGCGACGAUCAGUAGCCGGCCUGAGAGGGUGAACGGCCACAUUGGGACUGAGACACGGCCCAAACUCCUACGGGAGGCAGCAGUGGGGAAUAUUGCACAAUGGGGGGAACCCUGAUGCAGCGACGCCGCGUGAAGGAAGAAGUAUUUCGGUAUGUAAACUUCUAUCAGCAGGGAAGAAAAUGACGGUACCUGACUAAGAAGCCCCGGCUAACUACGUGCCAGCCGCCGCGGUAAUAC